AACGAACGCUGGCGGCGUGCCUAACACAUGCAAGUCGAACGAGAAAGGGGCUUCGGCUCCGAGUAAAGUGGCGCACGGGUGAGUAACACGUGGGUAACCUGCCUCUAAGAUUGGGAUAACUCGUCGAAAGAUGAGCUAAUACCGAAUAAGACCACAGUUCCCGCGGGAACAGGGGUCAAAGGUAGCCUCUGCUUGCAAGCUAUCACUUAGAGAUGGGCCUGCGCACCAUUAGCUAGUUGGUAGGGUAACGGCCUACCAAGGCAAAGAUGGUUAGCUGGUCUGAGAGGAUGAUCAGCCACACUGGAACUGAGACACGGUCCAGACUCCUACGGGAGGCAGCAGUGGGGAAUAUUGCGCAAUGGGCGAAAGCUUGACGCAGCAACGCCGCGUGAGUGAUGAAGGCCUUCGGGUCGUAAAGCUCUGUCGGGAGGAACGAAUGCUCCUGGGGUUAACAGCCUCGGGAGGUGACGGUACCUUCAAAGGAAGCACCGGCUAACUCUGUG
rnacentral:rRNA from 1 species